UACGGGGAGAGCAAGCGUUGUUCGGAUUUACUGGGCGUAAAGGGCGCGUAGGCGGCCACCGCAAGUCAGUUGUGAAAUCUCUGGGCUUAACCCAGAACGGUCAGCUGAUACUGCGGGGCUAGAGUGCAGAAGGGGCAACUGGAAUUCUCGGUGUAGCGGUGAAAUGCGUAGAUAUCGAGAGGAACACCUGCGGCGAAGGCGGGUUGCUGGGCUGACACUGACGCUGACAGCGCGAAAGCUAGGGGAGCGAACGGG
rnacentral:rRNA from 1 species